GCCGCCGCCGCCGCCGCCGCCGCCGCCGGCAGGAGGAGAAGAAAAGAGUCUCCCGGGUCCCGUAGCGCGAUCCGCGGUGCUGUGUGCUUCCUCCCUCGGGCCCAGAAGGAACCCAGGUCUCUCUACUGCAGCGCCCGCCGCUCCAGAGCGCCGGAAUUUGGUGGGAGAAGCAGCAGCCACGACAGCCAGUCCCUGUGGCCGCGGUAGCCUUUUACGGGUGGGAGCGUCUUGCAGAGUCAGAGCUAGGAAACCGAGAGAGUGCCCACCUGCGUGAGCCGAUCUCUCUGGUGCACUCUCCGAGUCCAAAUUUAGCAAACUGUACAGCGGAAGUGUCUCCUGUGUCGGACCCCUGCGUUUGUUUAAUUUCUUUGAAGUCAGAGGCUAUAAAUUGCUCAUCUCUGAAGUUUUCAAGUAAAUACUGAGUGGUACAUGGCGGAAUGAUCGCACCAGAUGACCUCGCUGGAAAUUGGGGCUGUCCCACUUAUUUAUAUCCUCUUGAAAGCGCGGCAUGGUUCCUUGCACCUGGAUGUACGAGGUGGAGACCGGGGGGGGGCGGGGGGGGGGGGGAGGAUGCGAUGAUGUUUCUGUGUGUGAAUGUAGUUUUUGGCAAAGGUCAGUCUAACUGUCAUGACGAAAAAUUCCGAUGUAGCGGAGGAAGGAAGUGAUGGUGGUGGUUAGCGAGGCAAGGUUCACGGGGGUAUUUUAUUGAUGGCGGAAUAUAUCCAUGUAAAAAAUAUAAUCAAAAUUUUAAACAGUCAUUGGAUGUUCCCUAUUCAUUUGGUACUUCCUAAAGGCUCCUUUCUUUAGCCAACUGUAGGAGUCAAAUGCAGUCGAUGUAUUGCAUGUCACAUUUGCAUGAACACGAGCUCAUGGACUGUAUGAAAGAUUAAAAUUUAAAAUUUUCUGUAUAAAAUACAGUUGAAUAAAAUAUGCUUAUAUACCA